rnacentral:rRNA from 1 species
AUACGGAGGAUGCGAGCGUUAUCCGGAUUUAUUGGGUUUAAAGGGAGCGUAGGUGGGAUAUUAAGUCAGCUGUGAAAGUUUGGGGCUCAACCUUAAAAUUGCAGUUGAUACUGGUUUCCUUGAGUACGGUACAGGUGGGCGGAAUUCGUGGUGUAGCGGUGAAAUGCUUAGAUAUCACGAAGAACUCCGAUCGCGAAGGCAGCUCACCGGGCCGGAACUGACACUGAUGCUCGAAAGUGCGGGUAUCAAACAGGAUUAGAUACCCUGGUAGUCCGCACAGUAAACGAUGAAUACUCGCUGUUUGCGAUACACGGUAAGCGGCUAAGCGAAAGCGUUAAGUAUUCCACCUGGGGAGUACGCCGGCAACGGUGAAACUUAAAGGAAUUGACGGGG